rnacentral:rRNA from 1 species
GACGAACGCUGGCUGCGUGCUUAACACAUGCAAGUCGAACGGAAAGGCCCUGCUUUUGUGGGGUGCUCGAGUGGCGAACGGGUGAGUAACACGUGAGUAACCUGCCCUUGACUUUGGGAUAACUUCAGGAAACUGGGGCUAAUACCGGAUAGGAGCUCCUGCUGCAUGGUGGGGUUGGAAAGUUUCGGCGGUUGGGGAUGGACUCGCGGCUUAUCAGCUUGUUGGUGGGGUAGUGGCUUACCAAGGCUUUGACGGGUAGCCGGCCUGAGAGGGUGACCGGCCACAUUGGGACUGAGAUACGGCCCAGACUCCUACGGGAGGCAGCAGUGGGGAAUAUUGCACAAUGGGCGGAAGCCUGAUGCAGCAACGCCGCGUGCGGGAUGACGGCCUUCGGGUUGUAAACCGCUUUCGCCUGUGACGAAGCGUGAGUGACGGUAAUGGGUAAAGAAGCACCGGCUAACUACGUG